rnacentral:rRNA from 1 species
GAUGAACGCUGGCGGCGUGCCUAAUACAUGCAAGUCGAACGAGGCCCUUUGUAUUCGUACGAAGGUGUCCUAGUGGGCGAACGGGUGAGUAACACGUAGGUGACCUGCCCCGAAGAGGGGAACAACCCCGGGAAACUGGGGCUAAUACCCCAUAACCUCCUUGGAGUUUAGAGGACCUUGGAGAAAAAGGAGCAAUCCGCUUUGGGAGGGGCCUGCGGCCCAUCGAGCUAGUUGGUAGGGUAACGGCCUACCAAGGCGAUGACGGGUAGGGGACCUGAGAGGGUGGUCCCCCACAAUGGGUACUGAAACACGGACCAUACGACUACGGUCGGCAGCAGUAGGGAAUAUUGCACAAUGGGCGAAAGCCUGAUGCAGCAACGCCGCGUGCGCGAUGGAAGGCCUCCGGGUUGUAAAGCGCUUUUCUGGGGGAAGAGAGAGGACGGUACCCCAGGAAUAAGUCUCGGCUAACUACGUG